UACGUAGGGUGCAAGCGUUGUCCGGAAUUAUUGGGCGUAAAGGGCUCGUAGGCGGUCUGUCGCGUCGAAAGUGAAAACUCAGGGCUUAACCCUGAGCCUGCUUCCGAUACGGGCAGACUAGAGGUAUGCAGGGGAGAACGGAAUUCCUGGUGUAGCGGUGAAAUGCGCAGAUAUCAGGAGGAACACCGAUGGCGAAGGCAGGUCUCUGGGCCACUACUGACGCUGAGAAGCGAAAGCAUGGGGAGCGAACAGG
rnacentral:rRNA from 1 species